rnacentral:lncRNA from 1 species
CUUUUUGGAGAGCUCCCUUUUGCCCUACCCUUUUGAUUGCGCUCUGUCUCUCUCCCCCAUCUCUCCACCUCCUCUCUCCUUUCUCCCUCCCUCUCUCCCUCUCUCUCUUUCCUUUUUUCUUUCUUUCUUUCUUUUCUCUCUCUCUCUCCCUCCUUUCUUUCUUUCUUUCUUUCUUUCUUUCUUUCUUUCUUUCUUUCUUUCUUUCUUUCCAUUCUUUCCAUUCUUUCUUUUCUUCCUUCCUUUCCUUUUGUGGAAAAAGUAGCCGUUCUUUAUAAGAAUAAAAUCACGUAAGUAAUUAAUUGGAAAUGACCUUAGCUGAUCUAAAGAUUCUAAAUCCAAGCUCUGUGUAAACAACUGAUAUAUGUUUUCUUUCAUUUUCAGAUCCUUUGCCUUUUCACUUUCUCCCUCCAUCUUCCUCCCUCUCUCUUGUACCCUCAGAUCGCCACGCUUUGGACCUCCCACGAAUGGUUUGAACCUGAGGCAUGAAUUGAGCUUGACUCCCUUGAGGGAGAGUUGCGAGAGGUGCUUACCAGAGUGGAGGAGGGUCAACAAACACAUCUAAAAGACAAAGACUGCAUCAGAAUUAGUGAUAUCCCCAGAUGACUAUGAAUCCAUGUGAAGAUAGU